rnacentral:rRNA from 1 species
AAAUUGAAGAGUUUGAUCAUGGCUCAGAUUAAACGCUGGCGGCAGGCCUAACACAUGCAAGUCGAGCGGUAGCACAGAGAGCUUGCUCUCGGGUGACGAGCGGCGGACGGGUGAGUAAUGUCUGGGAAACUGCCUGAUGGAGGGGGAUAACUACUGGAAACGGUAGCUAAUACCGCAUAACGUCGCAAGACCAAAGUGGGGGACCUUCGGGCCUCAUGCCAUCAGAUGUGCCCAGAUGGGAUUAGCUAGUAGGUGGGGUAACGGCUCACCUAGGCGACGAUCCCUAGCUGGUCUGAGAGGAUGACCAGCCACACUGGAACUGAGACACGGUCCAGACUCCUACGGGAGGCAGCAGUGGGGAAUAUUGCACAAUGGGCGCAAGCCUGAUGCAGCCAUGCCGCGUGUGUGAAGAAGGCCUUCGGGUUGUAAAGCACUUUCAGCGGGGAGGAAGGCGGUGAGGUUAAUAACCUCAUCGAUUGACGUUACCCGCAGAAGAAGCACCGGCUAACUCCGUGCCAGCAGCCGCGGUAAUACGGAGGGUGCAAGCGUUAAUCGGAAUUACUGGGCGUAAAGCGCACGCAGGCGGUCUGUCAAGUCGGAUGUGAAAUCCCCGGGCUCAACCUGGGAACUGCAUUCGAAACUGGCAGGCUAGAGUCUUGUAGAGGGGGGUAGAAUUCCAGGUGUAGCGGUGAAAUGCGUAGAGAUCUGGAGGAAUACCGGUGGCGAAGGCGGCCCCCUGGACAAAGACUGACGCUCAGGUGCGAAAGCGUGGGGAGCAAACAGGAUUAGAUACCCUGGUAGUCCACGCCGUAAACGAUGUCGAUUUGGAGGUUGUGCCCUUGAGGCGUGGCUUCCGGAGCUAACGCGUUAAAUCGACCGCCUGGGGAGUACGGCCGCAAGGUUAAAACUCAAAUGAAUUGACGGGGGCCCGCACAAGCGGUGGAGCAUGUGGUUUAAUUCGAUGCAACGCGAAGAACCUUACCUGGUCUUGACAUCCACAGAACUUUCCAGAGAUGGAUUGGUGCCUUCGGGAACUGUGAGACAGGUGCUGCAUGGCUGUCGUCAGCUCGUGUUGUGAAAUGUUGGGUUAAGUCCCGCAACGAGCGCAACCCUUAUCCUUUGUUGCCAGCGGUUCGGCCGGGAACUCAAAGGAGACUGCCAGUGAUAAACUGGAGGAAGGUGGGGAUGACGUCAAGUCAUCAUGGCCCUUACGACCAGGGCUACACACGUGCUACAAUGGCAUAUACAAAGAGAAGCGACCUCGCGAGAGCAAGCGGACCUCAUAAAGUAUGUCGUAGUCCGGAUUGGAGUCUGCAACUCGACUCCAUGAAGUCGGAAUCGCUAGUAAUCGUAGAUCAGAAUGCUACGGUGAAUACGUUCCCGGGCCUUGUACACACCGCCCGUCACACCAUGGGAGUGGGUUGCAAAAGAAGUAGGUAGCUUAACCUUCGGGAGGGCGCUUACCACUUUGUGAUUCAUGACUGGGGUGAAGUCGUAACAAGGUAACCGUAGGGGAACCUGCGGUUGGAUCACCUCCUUA